rnacentral:lncRNA from 1 species
GGAACUGGGCUUGUUUAGCUUGAAGGAGAGAACGCUCCAGGGAGACCUCAUUGUGGCCUUCCAGUACUUCAAGGGAACAUAUAAACAGGAAGGGGAAUGGCUGUUUACAAGGGUAGAUAGUGAUAGGACAAGGGGGAAUGGUCUUAAACUGAGACAGGGGAGGUUAUUUCCUGAAGAAAUAACCAUCAUUAAAUUGCAUUCUGCAUUUUACCAGAAAGCUUCCACCUCAGCUGUGCUGUCAAAAUGGGGGAGAAAUACAUGUGAAGCUGGUGGUAGAAAAUCUUUUUGUGAAUUUCUUCAGAAGUGAGUAUGCUUUUCAAGAAUAGAGCAAAAGGAUAAAUGGGCACAGAUUCUGUGUCGUGCAUGGAUACAGGAGCAGAUGAACUGGGAUCUACAUAAGCUAAGGACUCUAUGUUUUGUUUCCUCUUAACUCUUCUACUAUUCGUACUUCCCAACAUAAGCCAUUUUUCCUUGUAAGAAGUGUUUUUUUCUUUACAGAGCUAUUUACCAAUGGCAGCAAACACCUGUUUCCAAGACAGCAAUUUUCAGAUUUCAAAUUUCUUAACAUUUUUUAAAGACGUAGAGUUGUAUACCCCAAAAAUUAGAAUAUCAUCUAAGAGCCAUUUUUUGCAAUUUGUGAAAAUUAAGCAUCAAGAAAAAUAAUGCCCAAAAAAUAACUUCUCUUCAGAAUCUUCAGAAUCGUAGUCAACAGUUAUUGUCUGGAGAGUAUCUUCUGUGUGUAUGUCACUUCAUGUCUGAAAGUUAAAGCUGUAUGUCAGUUGUCUUAUGCUUCAUAAAGUAUGUUUUACCUCUUAAGCAGAAACAAUAUACUGAGUCUUCUCAGCAACGGCAGCAGCUGGUAAGAAAGGCGUAUGUAUGUAAGCAGC